ensembl:snRNA U6 U6 spliceosomal RNA
GUGCUCGCUUCGGCAGCACAUAUACUAAAAUUGGAACAAUACAGAAAAGAUUAGCAUGUCCCCUAUGCAAAGAUGACACGCAAAUUCGUAAAGUCUUCAUAUUUUUA